rnacentral:lncRNA from 1 species
CAUGAUUAAACUUAAAUAUAAAUGAAAAUAAACCUUUAUUGGGGACCAAUUUUAUGCCUUAUAUUAAAAAUUUAUUUAGAGAAUUUCAAUUAAAACAACCUAACCUACUGAAAGUCAACGAAAGAUAUGAUCUUCCUUCCCCACAUCUUGCAAUCUUGACAAAAUACUAUUAAAUCCCCACUACAAGUCUAGACUUACUCCGUCAAGUAAAAGGAAAUCGAUGUCAAGGUCCCCACGCCAU